CAGACUCUCCAGGUCAUGAUGUGACCAAGGUUGCCCCUUGCCACUCCCAGCUUUAUUCUCACCAGCUCAGCAACCCCAGGGAAAAGGGAGCACCAAUUUCCAAUUGUUUCAGAACAAGGAAACUAUUGCUGCAUCCCAAGAGUCCCGCAUGCAGUAGCUCAUCAACUGGUCACAAGGACGUUAGAGAAGAACAGACCUCAGGAGCGCACAUGCACAGAGGGAUGACCGUGUGCAGAGGCAGCAAGAGGGUCGCCAUCUGCAGGCCAAAGAGAGAGGCCUUGACGGAAAUCAACCCUGACAGCCGGCAUCUCGAGCUUGGACUUCCAGCCUCCAGCACUGUGAGAUAAUAACUGUGUUGCUUAAGCCACCCGGUCUGUGGUCUUUUGCUAUGGCAGUUCUAGCGAACAAAUAUAGUCUCUUUCCCUGCACACCUAGAAGAGUUCCUGGGAAGAUGCCCAUAUGCCUGGCUUGGUUCACUUCCCGUCUGUUACCAAUUGCUGUGGCCACCAGAUGCUGAACUCUAAUCGGUCAGGCCUUGGCCAAGUGCUCAUCCCUGGAGCUAGGGAUGGGCUCAGCCUGCCAACCUGGGUUCACUUUUCCUUGUUUGAUUAAAAAUUUUAAUUUAAAGCAAGUGACGGCUGGAUGCAAUGGCUCACUUCUAUAAUUCCAACCUUUUGGGAGGCCAAGGUGGAAGGAUCACUUCAGCCCCAGAGUUCGAGACCAGCCUGGGCAACACAGCGAAAC
rnacentral:lncRNA from 1 species